rnacentral:tRNA from 1 species
GGGUCUGUAGCUCAGUCUGGUGCUUAUCCAUCAUUUGGAUAAACGGGCAAUUAGAGCGCCGGUCUUAUAAGCCGGAGGUCGGGGGUUCAAAUUGACCAAAAGGCAUAUGCCUUUUGCAUGAAAGUCCCCUCAGACCCA